rnacentral:misc_RNA from 1 species
GUGAGUCAUCGAAUCUUUGAACGCACAUGGCGCCUUCCAGUAUCCUGGGAGGCAUGCCUGUCCGAGCGUCGUUUCAACCCUCGAGCCCCCGUGGCCCGGCGUUGGGGAUCUGCCACGGCAGGCCCCUAAAACCAGUGGCGGACCCGAAGGGCCCUCUCCUUUGCGCAGUAGCAUCAGCCUCGCAUCGGGAGCCCUCGGCGUCCUGCCUCUAAACCCCCUACAAGCCCGCCUAGCGGCACCAAGGUUGACCUCGGAUCAGGUAGGAAUACCCGCUGAACUUAAGCAUAUCAAUAAGCGGAGGA